GCAUCUCUUUAUGUUGCCCAGGUUGGC
rnacentral:piRNA from 1 species